GACGAACGCUGGCGGCGUGCCUAAUACAUGCAAGUCGAGCGGAACUGGGGGAGCUUGCUCCUUCCAGUUUAGCGGCGGACGGGUGAGUAACACGUGGGCAGCCUGCCCUGCAGAUCGGGAUAACUCCGGGAAACCGGUGCUAAUACCGAAUAGUUUGGCGCCUCUCCUGAGGCGCCACGGAAAGACGGUUUCGGCUGUCACUGCAGGAUGGGCCCGCGGCGCAUUAGCUAGUUGGUGGGGUAACGGCCCACCAAGGCGACGAUGAGUAGCCGACCUGAGAGGGUGACCGGCCACACUGGGACUGAGACACGGCCCAGACUCCUACGGGAGGCAGCAGUAGGGAAUCUUCCGCAAUGGACGCAAGUCUGACGGAGCAACGCCGCGUGAGUGACGAAGGUUUUCGGAUCGUAAAACUCUGUUGUGAGGGAAGAACACGUACCAACUAACUAUUGGUACCUUGACGGUACCUCACCAGAAAGCCACGGCUAACUACGUGCCAGCCGCCGCGGUAA
rnacentral:rRNA from 1 species